rnacentral:lncRNA from 1 species
CCAGCUCUUCCUUCGCAAGUAAGUUCGCUACCUCAUUCUUCUCUCUAUAACUAUGAUAGAACAGUAGUCCUCCUAGCAUAUCUAUCAAUAACCGACAUUCAAGCAAAAUGAAUGAUAAGUAGUGUAAUCUUAAUAUCAGGGGUCCAUCAUACAUCAGAGGUUUCAGAUUUGAACUCUAGAUAUGGAAAACAUCAAAGUAUUUUCCAAUUCAUAAAAGCGUAUCUACAUCAGUGGAGAAACGAACUUCUCUACAUUGGUGACGAAUAUAUCGUUACUUAAAACCUUCAACAAUUUAGGCUGUAGGCACGUAAUACAGACCCACAAAGGAAGAUGUCUAGAAUCUGACUCCCUAACGUGUCUAAGGAACAUGUUAAUUAAUCUAUUUUUUAUCGAAAACUUAACCUGUGUAAAGUAAAAAAAGUAAGUAAAUGGUGCAAAAAUUUAUCAUGGAAAACUCUAGCACACAAAGGGUAUAAAAUAAUGACCUGCACCUCCACAAGUUCAACCCAAACACCACUAAAACAAUGAGCCUUAAAUCGUUUGUAUUAUGAUGGUUGCAAUCCUAGGAACUAACUCUAAUUUCUAUAAAUCAACAAUCACCCUUGACUAUUGAACCCAACUUAGAUUUUCAUUUAAACUAUGAAAGCAAUAAAUUACAACUCAAUAAAAACAAAGGAGAAAAUGCUCUAUUUUCCUCCUUGAACGAUACGCGAAAAGGCUGAGACAUACCUAACCUUUAGGAGAGUUCUAUUAUCCCACUGGACUAAUUAAAAUCGUAUUUUUGACAACCUUAGUACCUACGUGGUACAACACACUGAAGGGUCCACGUAGGCACACGUGUGUGCCACGUAUGUGCCACAUAUAGACACUAAAGUUUUCAAAAAUAUAAUUUUAAUUAGUCCAGGGGUAAUAGAACCCUCCAAAAGUUUGGAUGUGUCUCAGCCUUUUCCUGUACAGCCAAGGGGUAAUAGGACCCUCCAAAAAUUUGGGUGUAUCUCAGCCUUUUCCUGUACAGCCAAGGUGGAAAUAGAGCAUUUUUUGAAAACAAUACAUUGAAGCUCACUUAAGAACUAUAAAGACAUAAUCUUAAGCAAAAGGUUCUUUAAUCUUUUUCUCCGUGUUGACUACACUUAGAUCUUCAAUCUGAACUGUCUCAAAUAUAAACUCCCUCUAUUAUAUUGUAUUCUGGAUUUUUCUCUCACU